AUUGAACGCUGGCGGCAGGCCUAACACAUGCAAGUCGAGCGGAUGAAGGGAGCUUGCUCCUGGAUUCAGCGGCGGACGGGUGAGUAAUGCCUAGGAAUCUGCCUGGUAGUGGGGGAUAACGUCCGGAAACGGGCGCUAAUACCGCAUACGUCCUGAGGGAGACAGUGGGGGAUCUUCGGACCUCACGCUAUCAUAUGAGCCUAGGUCGGAUUAGCUAGUUGGUGGGGUAAAGGCCUACCAAGGCGACGAUCCGUAACUGGUCUGAGAGGAUGAUCAGUCAAAAGGGAAAGGAGAAACGGUACAGACUCCGAAGGGAGGAAGCAGGGGGGAAUAUUGGAGAAAGGGCGAAAGGCUGAUCCAGGAAUGCCGGGGGUGUGAAGAAGGUCUUAGGAGGGGAAAGCACUGUAAGUUGGGAGGAAGGGAAGUAAGUUAAGACCGUGCUGUUUUGACGGUACCAAAAGAAUAAGCACCGGCUAACUUCGUG
rnacentral:rRNA from 1 species